rnacentral:rRNA from 1 species
UACAGAGGGGGCAAGCGUUGUUCGGAAUUACUGGGCGUAAAGGGCGCGUAGGCGGCCUUCUAAGUCGAACGUGAAAUCCCCGGGCUCAACCCGGGAACUGCGUCCGAUACUGGAAGGCUUGAAUCCGGGAGAGGGAUGCGGAAUUCCAGGUGUAGCGGUGAAAUGCGUAGAUAUCUGGAGGAACACCGGUGGCGAAGGCGGGUCUCUGGGACGGUACUGACGCUGAGACGCGAAAGCGUGGGGAGCGAACAGG